AGAGUUUGAUUAUGGCUCAGAUUGAACGCUGGCGGCAUGCUUUACACAUGCAAGUCGAACGGCAGCACGGGGUUUACCCUGGUGGCGAGUGGCGAACGGGUGAGGAAUACAUCGGAACGUGUCUAUAAGUGGGGGAUAACGCAUCGAAAGGUGUGCUAAUACCGCAUAAUCUCUCAGGAGAAAAGCAGGGGAUCGCAAGACCUUGCGCUUUAGGAGCGGCCGAUGCCUGAUUAGCUUGUUGGUAAGGUAAAAGCUUACCAAGGCUUCGAUCAGUAGCUGGUCUGAGAGGACGACCAGCCACACUGGGACUGAGACACGGCCCAGACUCCUACGGGAGGCAGCAGUGGGGAAUUUUGGACAAUGGGGGAAACCCUGAUCCAGCCAUGCCGCGUGAGUGAAGAAGGCCUUCGGGUUGUAAAGCUCUUUCAGCCGGAACGAAACGGUUACGAUUAAUACUCGUAAUUAAUGACGGUACCGGCAGAAGAAGCACCGGCUAACUACGUGCCAGCAGCCGCGGUAAUACGUAGGGUGCGAGCGUUAAUCGGAAUUACUGGGCGUAAAGGGUCCGCAGGUUGUUUUGUAAGUCAGAUGUGAAAGCCCCGGGCUUAACCUGGGAACUGCGUCUGAAACUACAAGGCUAGAGUAUGGCAGAGGGGGGUGGAAUUCCGCGUGUAGCAGUGAAAUGCGUAGAUAUGUGGAGGAACACCGAUGGCGAAGGCAGCCCCCUGGGUCAAUACUGACGCUGAGGGACGAAAGCAUGGGGAGCAAACAGGAUUAGAUACCCUGGUAGUCCAUGCCCUAAACGAUGUCAACUAGUUGUCGGGCCUUUACGGGCUUGGUAACGUAGCUAACGCGUGAAGUUGACCGCCUGGGGAGUACGGCCGCAAGGUUAAAACUCAAAUGAAUUGACGGGGGCCCGCACAAGCGGUGGAGCAUGUGGUUUAAUUCGACGCAACGCGAAGAACCUUACCAGGUCUUGACAUCCUGCGAACUUUCUAGAGAUAGAUUGGUGCCUUCGGGAACGCAGUGACAGGUGCUGCAUGGCUGUCGUCAGCUCGUGUCGUGAGAUGUUGGGUUAAGUCCCGUAACGAGCGCAACCCUUGUCCUUAGUUGCCAGCACAUAAUGGUGGGAACUCUAAGGAGACUGCCGGUGACAAACCGGAGGAAGGUGGGGACGACGUCAAGUCAUCAUGGCCCUUACGACCUGGGCUACACACGUGCUACAAUGGCCAGUACAGAGGGCUGCAAACCCGCGAGGGGGAGCUAAUCUCACAAAGCUGGUCGUAGUCCGGAUCGCAGUCUGCAACUCGACUGCGUGAAGUUGGAAUCGCUAGUAAUCGUGAAUCAGAAUGUCACGGUGAAUACGUUCCCGGGCCUUGUACACACCGCCCGUCACACCAUGGGAGUAGGUUGCAAAAGAAGUAGCUAGGCUAACCUUCGGGAGGCCGGUUACCACUUUGUGAUUUAUGACUGGGGUGAAGUCGUAACAAGGUA
rnacentral:rRNA from 1 species